rnacentral:rRNA from 1 species
AUACAGAGGGUGCAAGCGUUAAUCGGAAUUACUGGGCGUAAAGCGCGCGUAGGCGGUUUGUUAAGUCGGAUGUGAAAUCCCCGGGCUCAACCUGGGAACUGCAUUCGAAACUGGCGAGCUAGAGUAUGGUAGAGGAUAGUGGAAUUCCGGGUGUAGCGGUGAAAUGCGUAGAUAUCCGGAGGAACAUCAGUGGCGAAGGCGGCUUACUGGCUCGAUACUGACGCUGAGGUGCGAAAGCGUGGGGAGCAAACAGGAUUAGAAACCCUUGUAGUCC